rnacentral:rRNA from 1 species
CAGCCGCCACGGUAAUACGAAGGGUGCAAGCGUUAAUCGGAAUUACUGGGCGUAAAGCGCGCGUAGGUGGUUUGGUAAGAUGGAUGUGAAAUCCCCGGGCUCAACCUGGGAACUGCAUCCAUAACUGCCUGACUAGAGUACGGUAGAGGGUGGUGGAAUUUCCUGUGUAGCGGUGAAAUGCGUAGAUAUAGGAAGGAACACCAGUGGCGAAGGCGACCACCUGGACUGAUACUGACACUGAGGUGCGAAAGCGUGGGGAGCAAACAGGAUUAGAUACCCCAGUAGUCCCUGUCUCUUAUAA